rnacentral:rRNA from 1 species
GACGAGGGAUCCUAGCGUUGCUCGGAAUCAUUGGGCGUAAAGCGGGUGUAGGUGGCUUGACAAGUCAGGUGUGAAAGCCCAGGGCUCAACCCUGGAAGUGCAUUUGAAACUGUCGAGCUUGAGUGCUAGAGAGGUUAUUAGAAUACCUGGUGUAGUGGUGAAAUACGUAGAUAUCAGGUGGAACACCGGAGGCGAAGGCAGCUCGCUGGGACGUUACUGACGCUGAGACGCGAAGCGUGGGGAGCAAACAGG